AUGCUGCAAUCACCAUGGGGAUGGUGCUUCUCAAUGAAGCUGCCACCUCCAAGGGAGAUGUUGGCAAGAGAAGAAUCAUCUGCCUGGUUGGCCUUGGCCUGGUGGUGUUUUUCUUUAGUUUCCUGCUCUCCAUCUUCAGGUCCAAGUACCAUGGAUACCCCUACAGCUUCCUUAUUAAGUGAACAAACACAGUAGAGACAGCCAGAAAAAAUGUCGGAUGUGGUAGGUGAGAAGAAGAGGAGUUGAGAACAUACUUGAAGAGGAGGCAGUGUCACUACUGAGUCUAAAGUGCAUGGUCUGGUUUCUAUUAGUGUAUGUGUCGUUGUUGUUUUUUUGGGGUUUUUUUUUUUUUUUUACUUAACUACUACCAAUAAAUCUGCAAGCUGAAUAUGGUUGUCACUUCAUACACUGGACAAUAAAGGCACCAUUUUGCAUGUCAUGUAUCUUUGUUGUUUUUUCAUGACUCUUUAGCGCUAAAGUUUUUUAUGUGGUUAUAUAAACUGACCAGUGACAGUGGCAGUCUAAUCAUUUGUGACAUAUUGUAAACAUGAAUUGAACCAUAUUUUUCAAAAAUGCUGUUAAAAGUAAAACUGGAAACUAAAGAUUUAUGGUGGGUUAAUGGGGAUAAAAAUGGGGCCAAAAUCUCUAGUUCAAUUCAGUAUUUUUAAGUAACAUGGACUAAGUAACCCUCUUUAUUAAGUACAUCUUGUUCGCACUGGGUGGGACGCCAUUUUGUCUUCAGAACUUCCUUAAUUCUUUAUGACAUAGCCCCAUAUUGAUUGUCCAUACUGAACAAUAGCAUGACGGAGUUGCAUGUCAAAUUCUGUCCCCACAAUCUGAACAUCACAGCUUCGACACUCAUUGGAAAUCAGGAGUCAUCAGACCAAGCAACUUUUUUUUCUUUAUCUUCUAUUGUCCAGUGUUGUCUGUGAAGGUUCUCAGUCAUCCAGGUC